UUGAGCCGUAUGACGUGAAAGUGUCAAGUACGGUUCUUAGGGGAGAACGAGGGAGUAAUCCCUCUGACUUACCCGAC
rfam:Alkaliphilus metalliredigens QYMF, complete genome.